UACGUAGGUGGCAAGCGUUGUCCGGAUUUACUGGGUGUAAAGGGCGUGUAGCCGGGCUGACAAGUCAGAUGUGAAAUCCGGGGGCUCAACCCCCGAACUGCAUUUGAAACUGUUGGUCUUGAGUAUCGGAGAGGCAGGCGGAAUUCCUAGUGUAGCGGUGAAAUGCGUAGAUAUUAGGAGGAACACCAGUGGCGAAGGCGGCCUGCUGGAUGACAACUGACGGUGAGGCGCGAAAGCGUGAGGAGCAAACAGG
rnacentral:rRNA from 1 species